rnacentral:rRNA from 1 species
UGCGUUGAUUACGUCCCUGCCCUUUGUACACACCGCCCGUCGCUACUACCGAUUGAAUGGCUUAGUGAGCCUUUGGGAUUGGCAGCUUGUACCGGCAACGGUAGCAGGCAGCCGAAAACUUAGGCAAACUUGGUCAUUUAGAGGAAGUAAAAGUCGUAACAAGGUUUCUGUAGGUGAACCUGCAGAAGGAUCAUUAGUGAAGAUUCAAGGGCCAGCCAUACAGACGUACAAUAAGUGUGUCUCUGGCGGCUCGCAUCCACUAUACAUCCAUAAACCCGUGUGCACUGUUCUAAGGAGUAAGAAAGAAGAAGAGAGAGUGCAUGUGCUUUGCAUAUAACUCUCUCACUCUCUUUCUCUCUCCGGUUAAUUACAAACUCGUAUGGAUUUGUAUGAACGUGAGAUAUAUCGUUGGACCGUCACUGGCCAACAAAUAUAACACAACUUUCGACAACGGAUCUCUUGGUUCUCCCAUCGAUGAAGAACGCAGCGAAACGCGAUAGGUAAUGUGAAUUGCAGAAUUCCGUGAAUCAUCGAAUCUUUGAACGCACCUUGCGCUCUAUGGUAUUCCGUAGAGCAUGCCUGUUUGAGUGCCGUGAAUUCUCCCAUCCCAAGCGGUUUUUAUCAAAGAAUUGCUAGGCGAUGGGGUUGAGAUGGGCGUUAUUAUAACUGCUUUUCUUCUCUAGAAAAGCUCGCCCGAAAAACAGCUAACGCCUCUGGGCCACUUUGCAUCCGCUUCUCUGAGGGGAGAAGCGGCCAAGCGCGCUCUGAUCAUCAGGCAUAGCAUGAUACGUCAUUUGCUAUGCUGUAGGAGAGCAUUUGGUUGUGGUUAUACCGCGUGCGUCAUUUUUUUUUCUUUGCAAAGAGGAAAAAAAAGCCCCCCUUUCAUUUCUGGUCUCAAAUCAGGUAGGAUCACCCGCUGAACUUAAGCAUAUCAAUAAGCGGAGGAAAAGAAACUAACAAGGAUUCCCCUAGUAACGGCGAGCGAAGCGGGAAGAGCUCAAAUUUGAAAGCUGGCACCUCCGGUGUCCGCGUUGUAAUCUCGAGACGUGUUUUCCGUGCGGCUCUAUGGACAAGUCCCUUGGAAUAGGGCAUCGUAGAGGGUGAGAAUCCCGUACUUGCCAUGGAAGAACCGUGCUUUGCGAUACACGCUCUAAGAGUCGAGUUGUUUGGGAUUGCAGCUCAAAAUGGGUGGUAGACUCCAUCUAAAGCUAAAUAUCGGGGAGAGACCGAUAGCGAACAAGUACCGUGAGGGAAAGAUGAAAAGCACUUUGGAAAGAGAGUUAAAAGUACGUGAAAUUGUCGAAAGGGAAGCACUUGAAGUCAGCCAUGCUGCUUGAGACUCAGCCUGGCCUUUGGGCUUGGUGUAUUUCUCGGUGGCAAGCCAGCAUUGGUUUGGGUCGUCGGAGAAGCGCAUAGG